AGAGUUUGAUCCUGGCUCAGAACGAACGCUGGCGGCGCGUUCUAAGCAUGCAAGUCGAACGGUAUACAUAGCUUGCUAUGUAGAGAGUGGCGAACGGGUGAGUAACACGUAGGUAAUCUGCCUCCGGAUGGGGGAUAGACCACGGAAACGUGGCGUAAUACCGCAUGAGUUCUAUACUUAUAACGAGUGUAGAAGAAAGAUGCAAUUGUAUCGUCUGGAGAUGAGCCUGCGGUCCAUUAGCUUGUUGGCAGGGUAAUGGCCUACCAAGGCGACGAUGGAUAGCCGGCCUGAGAGGGUGAACGGCCACACCGGGACUGAGACACGGCCCAGACUCCUACGGGAGGCAGCAGCUAAGAAUCUUCCGCAAUGGGCGAAAGCCUGACGGAGCGACGCCGCGUGGACGAUGAAGGCCGAAAGGUUGUAAAGUCCUUUUCUUAGGGAAGAAUAAGGCGGAGAGUGGAAUGCUUCGUUGAUGACAUUAACUGAGGAAUAAGCCCCGGCCAAUUACGUGCCAGCAGCCGCGGUAAUACGUAUGGGGCGAGCGUUGUUCGGAAUUAUUGGGCGUAAAGGGCGUGUAGGCGGUUUUAUAAGCCUGGUGUGAAAUCCCACAGCUCAACUGUGGAUCCGCGCUGGGAACUGUAAGACUAGAGUUUAGGAGGGGAAGCUGGAAUUCCUGGUGUAGGGGUGAAAUCUGUAUAUCAGGAAGAACACCGAUGGCGAAGGCGAGCUUCUAGCCAUAGACUGACGCUGAGGCGCGAAAGCGUGGGGAGCGAACAGGAUUAGAUACCCUGGUAGUCCACGCUGUAAACGAUGUGCACUGGGUGUAGGAGACGUCGAGUUUUCUGUGCCGUAGCUAACGCGAUAAGUGCACCGCCUGGGGAGUAUGCUCGCAAGGGUGAAACUCAAAGGAAUUGACGGGGGCCCGCACAAGCGGUGGAGCAUGUGGUUUAAUUCGAUAUACGCGAGGAACCUUACCAGGGCUUGACAUGUACUUGAAGUCUUAAGAGAUUAAGUCGACCUUUAGGGGACAGGUACACAGGUGCUGCAUGGCUGUCGUCAGCUCGUGUCGUGAGAUGUUGGGUUAAGUCCCGCAACGAGCGCAACCCUUACUGUCCGUUGCCAGCAGGCCUUCGGGCGCUGGGGACUCAGGCAGAACUGCCGGUGACAAACCGGAGGAAGGUGGGGGUGACGUCAAGUCAUCAUGGCCCUUAUGUCCUGGGCUACACACGUGCUACAAUGGUCGGUACAAAGCGUUGCGAGACGGUGACGUCCUUAGCAAAUCGCAAAAAGCCGAUCUCAGUUCGGAUUGGAGUCUGAAACCCGACUCCAUGAAGUUGGAAUCGCUAGUAAUCGCGCAUCAGAAUGGCGCGGUGAAUAUGUUCCCGGGCCUUGUACACACCGCCCGUCACACCACCCGAGUUGGGGGUACCCGAAGUCGCUAGUCUAACUCUUCGGAGAGGACGGCGCCGAAGGUAUGUCCGGUAAGGGGGGUGAAGUCGGAACAAGGUA
rnacentral:rRNA from 1 species